rnacentral:rRNA from 1 species
AGUGAACGCUGGCGGUAGGCCUAACACAUGCAAGUCGAACGGCAGCACAGUAAGUGCUUGCUCUUACGGGUGGCGAGUGGCGGAAGGGUGAGGAAUACAUCCGAAUCUACUUUUUCGUGGGGGAUAACGUAGGGAAACUUACGCUAAUACCGCGUACGCCCUACGGGUGAAAGCAGGGGAUAUUCGGACCUUGCGCGAUUGAAUGAGCCGAUGUCGGAUUAGUUAGUUGGCGGGGUAAAGGCCCACCAAGGCGACGAUCCGUAGCUGGUCUGAGAGGAUGAUCGGCCACAUGGGAACGUGGACACGGUCCAUACUACUACGGGAGGCAGCAGUGGGGAAUGUUGGACAAUGGGCGCAAGCCUGGUCCAGCCAGCCCGCGUGUGAGAAGAAGGCCUUCGGGUUGUAAAGCCCUUUUGUUGGGAAAGAAAAGCAGCAGGUUAAUACCCCGCUGUUCUGACGGUACCCAAAGAAUAAGCACCGGCUAACUUCGUG